rnacentral:rRNA from 1 species
AGUGAACGCUGGCGGUAGGCCUAACACAUGCAAGUCGAACGGCAGCACAGGAGAGCUUGCUCUCUGGGUGGCGAGUGGCGGACGGGUGAGGAAUACAUCGGAAUCUACUCUGUCGUGGGGGAUGAUGUAGGGAAACUUACGCUAAUACCGCAUACGACCUACGGGUGAAAGCAGGGGACCUUCGGGCCUUGCGCGAUUGAAUGAGCCGAUGUCGGAUUAGCUAGUUGGCGGGGGAAAGGCCCACCAAGGCGACGAUCCGUAGCUGGUCUGAGAGGAUGAUCAGCCACACUGGAACUGAGACACGGUCCAGACUCCUACGGGAGGCAGCAGUGGGGAAUAUUGGACAAUGGGCGCAAGCCUGAUCCAGCCAUACCGCGUGGGUGAAGAAGGCCUUCGGGUUGUAAAGCCCUUUUGUUGGGAAAGAAAUCCAGCUGGCUAAUACCCGGUUGGGAUGACGGUACCCAAAGAAUAAGCACCGGCUAACUUCGUGCCAGCAGCCGCCGUAA